GCCGGUAAGGCCCGCCCAACUGCCUCCUGUCAGCUCCUUAAGUAGAAGCCGGAGGAAGGGGCUCGGUCUUUCGGGGACUGUGACGUUGAGGAGGUUCCGGCCGGGCCGAGGACGUCGCAUCUCCCUGUCCUCCUCCUCUUGGACCAUUCCCCGAAGCCCUUCAAUAAAAUGGUUUGAUCCCAGC